GAGAUUACCCGCUGAACUUAAGCAUAUCAAUAAGCGGAGGAAAAGAAACCAACAGGGAUUGCCUCAGUAACGGCGAGUGAAGCGGCAAAAGCUCAAA
rnacentral:rRNA from 1 species